GAUGAAGAACGUAGCGAAAUGCGAUAGGUAGUGCGAAUUGCAGAAUUACGUGAAUCAUCGAAUCUUUGAACGCAAAUUGCACUUUCUGGUGUUCCAGGGAGUAUGCCUGUUUGAGGGUCGCCUGAAUAAAAAUCGAUACAUCGCCUUUGUUGGUGUUUUUGUGUCGGAAUUGAGCCGUCUUUUCGCAUGUUAAGUGGCUUAAAAUUCAUCUUUUAGGUACGAUCAAAGCGUAUUUAUGAUCAAUUUUGGUUAGGAAUCGCGCGAUGAUAAUGUGCCAUCUCAUGUAGUACGUUUGACUUGUUCGUCAGGUUCAUUCGUAUACGAUACUCAACUUUGACCUCAAAUCAGGUAAGGAUACCCGCUGAACUUAAGCAUAUCAAUAAGCGGAGGA
rnacentral:misc_RNA from 1 species